CCUACGGGUGGCAGCAGUGAGGAAUAUUGGUCAAUGGCCGUAAGUCUGAACCAGCCAAGUCGCGUGCAGGAAGAAGGAUCUAUGGGUUGUAAACUGCUUUUAUACGGGGGUAAAGGUAUACACGUGUGGAUAUUUGAAUGUACCCUAUGAAUAAGCAUCGGCUAACUCCGUGCCAGCAGCCGCGGUAAUAAGGGGGAUGCAAGCGUUAUCCGGAUUUAUUGGGUUUAAAGGGUGCGUAGGCGGGGCGGUAAGUCAGCGGUGAAAUGCCCGCGGUCAACGGGGUGAAGUGCCAUUGAUACUGCUUGGCUGGAGUGCGGAUGCGGUAGGAGGAAUGUAUGGUGUAGCGGUGAAAUGCAUAGAUAUCACACAGAACACCGAUUGCGAAGGCAUCUCACGAAUCCGCUAUUGACGCUGAUGCACGAAAGCGUGGGUAUCAAACAGGAUUAGAUACCCCGGUAGUC
rnacentral:rRNA from 1 species